GACUCUCGACAACGGAUAUCUCGGCUCUCGCAUCGAUGAAGAACGUAGUGAAAUGCGAUACUUGGUGUGAAUUGCAGAAUCCCGUGAACCAUCGAGUUUUUGAACGCAAGUUGCGCCCGAAGCCGUCAGGCCGAGGGCACGUCUGCCUGGGCGUCU
rnacentral:rRNA from 1 species